UACGUAGGGUGCAAGCGUUGUCCGGAAUUAUUGGGCGUAAAGAGCUCGUAGGCGGUUCGUCGCGUCGGCUGUGAAAUCCCGGAGCUCAACUCCGGGUCUGCAGUCGAUACGGGCGGACUUGAGUUCGGCAGGGGAGACUGGAAUUCCUGGUGUAGCGGUGAAAUGCGCAGAUAUCAGGAGGAACACCGGUGGCGAAGGCGGGUCUCUGGGCCGAUACUGACGCUGAGGCACGAAAGCGUGGGGAGCAAACAGG
rnacentral:rRNA from 1 species